CAAUGUCAUGACCCAGGCGAACAGCUACAACACUUUCCAAGGGCUGGGUUCAGACAGCUUACAGGUGCUCAGUUCAGAUGUCUUGCAGUCUGAAAAGGAGUCAUGGAUGAAUACUCAGGAUUGAUGUAUGUGCUCACCAGAGGGACAGAACAUGAUAGCACCAUGGUAUCUACACCUGUCUGGAGCUCAUGAGAUCAAAUCAGAGCUGUGCAGUGCAUGAUUCCCAUCACAUGGGGUGCAGCUGCUCUGCUGAGAGGAAGAGCAUGUUCACCAGGUGGAGUGGGUGGGUGGCCAGCUUUGCUUGAGGCACAGGGGACAGUCAGGAGGACACGUAUGGGGGCAUUGCAGUCAUGUGUUAAAUAUUCUGAAGGGGUGAGAAGGGCCUUUAAGACCGUAAAGGGACCACGACA
rnacentral:lncRNA from 1 species